GACGAACGCUGGCGGCGUGCUUAACACAUGCAAGUCGAACGGAAAGGCCCUGCUCUUGUGGGGUGCUCGAGUGGCGAACGGGUGAGUAACACGUGAGUAACAUGCCCUUGACUUUGGGAUAACUUCAGGAAACUGCGGCUCAUACCGGGUAGGAGCUACUGCUGCAUGGUGGGGGAUGGAAAGAUUCGGCGGUUGUGGCUGGACUCGAGGCUUAUCGGCUGGUUGGUGGGGUAGUGGCUGUCAAAGCCUUUGAAGGGUAGCCGGCCUGGGAGGGUGACCGGCCACAUGGGGACUGAGGGACGGCCCAGACUCCUACGGGAGGCAGCGGGGGGGAAUAUGGCGCAAUGGGCGGAAGCCUGAUGCAGCAACGCCGCGUGCGGGAUGACGUCCUUCGGGUUGUAAACCGCUGUCUCCGGUGACGAAGCGUGAGUGACGGUAAUGGGUAAAGAAGCACCGGCUAACUACGUG
rnacentral:rRNA from 1 species